UUAUCACCUUUACUUCAAUACCAAAUGUACAAAAUAAAAAAUACAAUCACUCCAUAUGACUAACGUGUCAACCGGAUCACGUUUCUAGAACAACUUAAUGUCUCACUCAAACUUGGUAGUCAGUGCGCCGACUUCACUACCCGAUGUACUCCACACACACCUAUGCUUUGUUAGGACCUUAGAGAGACCCUCUCCAUAGGGCUAAAUCGGUCUCAAGUCCAAGUAAUCAAUUUAAUUAUCCGUCAUUCACACUUGUCCCUGCCUAGUACAUCACAUUCACAUCAUAUGGCUUUCCAUUGGCACUUUGGUGGUCACUCGUUACCCACCACUCAUACAUGUAGUCCCAGACUAUCAGUCACACUUGGGGUCACUCGUUACCAACCACUCAUACAUGUAGUCCCAGACUAUCCAGUCACACUUUGGUGGUCACUCGUUACCCACCACUCAUACAUGUAGUCCCAGACUAUCCAGUCACACUUUGGUGGUCACUCGUUACCCACCACUCAUACAUGUAGUCCCAGACUAUCCAGUCACACUUUGGUGGUCACUCGUUACCCACCACUCAUACAUGUAUUCCCAGACAUCCAUUCGCACUUUGGUGGUCACUCGUUACCCACCACUCAUACAUGUAGUCCCAGACUAUCCAGUCACACUUUUAUAAUCAGCUAGAAUGAAUCAUACAUGUAGUCCCAGACUAUCCAGUCACACUUUGGUGGUCACUCGUUACCCACCACUCAUACAUGUAGUCCCAGACUAUCCAGUCACACUUGGUGGGCACUCGUUACCCACCACUCAUACAUGUAGUCCCGACUAUCCAUUCGCACUUUGGUGGUCACUCGUUACCCACCACUCAACAUGUAGUCCCAGACUAUCCAGUCACACUUUUAUAAUCAGCUAGAAUGAAUCAUACAUGUAGUCCCAGACUAUCCAGUCACACUUUGGUGGUCACCCGUUACCCACCACUCCUACAUGUAUAAGUGUCCUCUGUUAGCACCCACUAGC
rnacentral:lncRNA from 1 species